rnacentral:rRNA from 1 species
GAUGAACGCUGGCGGCGUGCCUAAUACAUGCAAGUCGAGCGAACGGACGAGAAGCUUGCUUUUCUGAUGUUAGCGGCGGACGGGUGAGUAACACGUGGAUAACCUACCUAUAAGGCUGGGAUAACUUCGGGAAACCGGAGCUAAUACCGGAUAAUAUUUUGAACCGCAUGGUUCAAAAGUGAAAGACGGUCUUGCUGUCACUUAUAGAUGGAUCCGCGCUGCAUUAGCUAGUUGGUAAGGUAACGGCUUACCAAGGCAACGAUGCAUAGCCGACCUGAGAGGUGGGUCGGGCACACGGGAAGUGAGAUACGGUACGGACGACUGCGGGAGGCAGCAGUAGGGAAUCGGCGGAAAUGGGCUAAAGACUGACGGAGCAUGUUCGCGUGAGUGAUGAAGGGCUUAGGUUCGUAAAAACAGGUUAAUGGGGAAGAACAUAUAUGUAAGUAACAGUGCACAGCUUGACGGUACCUAAUCAGAAAGCCACGGCUAACUACGUG